CUUGUACUCCCUCCGUUCGGAAUUACUUGUCGCAAAAAUGGAUGUAUCUACAACUAAAAUACAUCUAGAUACAUUCAUUUCUUGGACGAGUAAUUCCGAACGGAGGGAGUACCUU
rnacentral:pre_miRNA from 1 species